rnacentral:rRNA from 1 species
UACGGAGGGUGCAAGCGUUAUCCGGAUUUACUGGGUUUAAAGGGUGUGUAGGCGGCUUGUUAAGUCAGGGGUGAAAUCCCGGGGCUCAACCCCGGAACUGCCUUUGAUACUAUCGAGCUUGAAUUAUGUUGAGGUUGGCGGAAUAUGACAUGUAGCGGUGAAAUGCAUAGAUAUGUCAUAGAACACCGAUUGCGAAGGCAGCUGACUAAGCAUAUAUUGACGCUGAGGCACGAAAGCGUGGGGAUCAAACAGG